UUUCUAUAUUUAGAUACACAAAUACCAUUGUAUUUGAAUUGACUACAGUAUUAAGUAUAGUAACAUGCUAUAUAGGCUUAUAUCCAGGGCAAUAG